CGGGGUGAGUAAUGUCUGGGAAACUGCCUGAUGGAGGGGGAUAACUACUGGAAACGGUAGCUAAUACCGCAUAACGUCGCAAGACCAAAGAGGGGGACCUUCGGGCCUCUUGCCAUCGGAUGUGCCCAGAUGGGAUUAGCUAGUAGGUGGGGCAACGGCUCACCUAGGCGACGAUCCCUAGCUGGUCUGAGAGGAUGACCAGCCACACUGGAACUGAGACACGGUCCAG
rnacentral:rRNA from 1 species